GGGCCCGUAGCUCAGCAUGGUAGAGCGGCAGGCUCUUAACCUGACGGUCGGGGGUUCAAAUCCCUCCGGGCCCGCCA
rnacentral:tRNA from 1 species